GCCAGAAUAAGGUAGAGAAAGAUUCCAGUAUAAACUGAAGGUCAACUCCAACUAGGACAAAAGUCACUGAGGUUUUUAAAGGGAAAACAGAUAAGGAAAAAAAGAAACUAGGAGGAAAUGAGUGGGGGGGGGGGGAAAUGGGACAAGGGAGCUAUGUAGAAAUGGAAUACUACAGAAAAAGUGGAAAAAUUACUAAAAAUGGUUUGACAAGGUGGGUUAGACAAUGUACAUUUUAUGGUUUGGCAGGAUCACAUUUUCUUCAGCAAAAACUCAGCAUGGAGGCUGGGAGGUCAUCUUUAGGGACAUAAGCUACAACUUACUGCAGGUGCAAGUCAAUUAAAGUUUGGUCAAGAUGCUUAGCUAAGUAUUUAGGCAAGUCCUUUGUUCUGUAUAUGCUUUUAGAGUUCAGAACCUUCAUGAACCCAAAACAUUCCUUCACGUAAAUUUUGUUUCUGAAAUUCUGAAUGGUCCUAACUGGCGUGCUACCUAAAGCUAUGUAAAAAGUGUGAUGUCUACACAGGCAGAGCCUCAGACCUCUGAAAGCACAUAAGCCCUACUUAGUGUGGUGACGUCUACACAGGCAGAGCCUCAGACCUCUGAAAGCACAUAAGCCCUACUUAGGGGUGAUGUCUACACAGGCAGAGCCUCAGACCUCUAAAAGCACAUGAGCCCCACUUGCUUCAGCUGCCUCUCUUUUGGGGAAAAGGAUCCAGUGCAGGAAGAAGGAAAAACACACACUUAAAGGGAACAGAGCCAGCUCAAGCUGGACCCUCAUCUUUCUGCUCCAGCACCUUGUGAACACACACCAGCCCUGACAGGGCAGAGAUGGCCACUGAGAAGAGUGGAAGUCUCGCUUUCCUCCCUGCACAAGCUCUGGCUCUUCCAUCACCAGCCACAGCUUCUACCAAGAUUAUAGUGGCCAGCACACCCUGAGGAAAUGUGACUGGCCUCCACAUCAAACCCAACCCUCCCACCAAAGGUACUGAAUAACAGCUACAUAGAGAUACUUCCACAUAAUAACACUGCUUCAGGACCAAAAUAGGUAACUCACUACAUUUGUAGAGACAGAGCAAGUUAAAUAAAAUGAAAACGCAGAGGAUCUAUUCCCAAAGAAAAGAGCAAGAGAAAACCCCUGGAAAAGAUCAUGAAAUAAAGAUAAUUAGUCUAUGAAACAAUGAAGUCAAAACAUUGGUAAUAAAAAUACUAACUGAAUUAGGAAAGAGAAUUGAUCUAACCACAGAUCAUUUUAACAAGAAAAUACAAAAUAAAAAGAAGACCCAAAUAAAAACAGAUAAUUCUACCCCUGAGAUAAAAAGCACUCUCGAAGCAAUGAAUAGAAGACUAAAUUUCACAGAAGAAUUGACCUAGAGAUUAUAAUCGAUCUAGCAGAUAGAAUAAUUCCAACCAAAAGAAAAAGUGGUUGAUUGGAUCAAAAAAGAAGAUCUUUCAAUAUGCUGCCUACAAGAGACUCACUUUGAGGCAAAAGACAAACACAGACUAAAAGUGAAGGAUCUGGCAUUGCCGUGAGCUGUGGCCUAGGUCACAGAUGGAGCUUGGAUCUCAAGUUGCUGUGGCUGUGGUAGGCUGGCAGCUACAGCUACAAUUCGACCCCUAGCUGAGAACUUCCAUAUGCUAUGCCGGCCCUAAAAAAAAAAAAAAGGAGGAAAACAAAAAAGAUAUGUGCACCCCAGUAUUUACUGCUGCACUAUUUACGAUAGCCUAGACAUGGAAUCGACUCAAAUGUCCAUUAACAGAGGACUGGAUAAAGAAGACGUGACAUAUACAUGCAAGGGAUUAUCACUUAACCAUAAAAAGAAAUAAGAGUUCCCGUCAUGGCACAGUGGAAAGGAAUCCAACUAGGAAGCAUGAGGUUGCAGGUUCGAUCCCUGGUCUCACUCAGUGGGUUAAGGGUUUGGCAUUGCCAUGAGCUGUGGUGUGGGUCACAGACAUGGCUCAGAUCCAGUGUUGCUGUGGCUCUGGCAUAGGCCUGUGGCUGCAGCUCCAAUUAAACCCCUAACCUGGGAACCUCCAUGUGCCACGGCUGUGGCCCUAAAAAGAAAGAAAAGGCAAAAAAAAAAAAAAAAAAAAAAAGAAAAAAAAAGAAAGAAUGCCAUUUGCAGCACAUGGAUGGACCUAGAGAUUAUCAUACUAAAUCAGAGAAAGACAAAUAUCAUAUGAGAUCACUAAAAUGUGGCAUCUAAUACAAAUGAUACAAAAGAACUUACAAAACAGAAACAGGCUCAGUUUUCAAAACCAAACUUACGGUUACCAAAGGGGAAAUGUUGGGGGGGAUUAAAUUAAUGAUUGGGAUUGAAAAAUACACACUUAUAUAAAAGAUAGAUUAACAAUGUCAUAUAAACAAACCUCACUAUUUCUUCAUGAAUUUGCUUCCCUAAGCCCAAAUUUUUUAUCAUGUCAUUUUUGCAUAAAUGUAUUGUAUGUCUAAAAGGUAUAAAGGGGCCUGCUUUGGUUACUUCUUAGAGUCUUGUAUUUUUAUGGGAUCCAUAUGCACAAAAUUAAUUUUCUUGUUAAUCUAUUUUUAUGUCAAUUUAAUUCUUACAUCAACUAAUGAACCUAGGAGAGAAGGAAAAAUUUUCUUACCUACAGGCCCACAUGUGACGUCCCUCUCUGCAUCCAUCACCAAUCUGUGCAAACAUUCAUUAAGCCAGCGCUAGAAUAACCAGUUAUUUAUUUGGUGCCCAUUCUGUGAUGAAUAUUAAGUCUCGCAAUCCACAAUAUGUGGAAAUACAGUAUUUCAUUAACUGUCAAAUCUCUAAUUAUUAAUAUGAUUGACCGUCAUUUUGUUUUUCUGGGUUUUUUUGGUCCAUUCCAGGAUCUUCUUUGCAUGUACUGUGCUCUUUUUCCACUGUGGUGUUUUUCUAUUGACUUCUUUGGUUUAGAGAAGGUACAAAAGGUCAAUAUGUCAUUUGCUAAAAAAAAAAAAAAAAAAAAAA
ensembl:lncRNA